rnacentral:rRNA from 1 species
AGUGAACGCUGGCGGUAGGCCUAACACAUGCAAGUCGAACGGCAGCACAGUAAGAGCUUGCUCUUACGGGUGGCGAGUGGCGGACGGGUGAGGAAUACAUCGGAAUCUACUUUUUCGUGGGGGAUAACGUAGGGAAACUUACGCUAAUACCGCAUACGACCUACGGGUGAAAGCAGGGCAUCUUCGGACCUUGCGCGAUUGAAUGAGCCGAUGUCGGAUUAGCUAGUUGGCGGGGUAAAGGCCCACCAAGGCGACGAUCCGUAGCUGGUCUGAGAGGAUGAUCAGCCACACUGGAACUGAGACACGGUCCAGACUCCUACGGGAGGCAGCAGUGGGGAAUAUUGGACAAUGGGCGCAAGCCUGAUCCAGCCAUACCGCGUGGGUGAAGAAGGCCUUCGGGUUGUAAAGCCCUUUUGUUGGGAAAGAAAAGCAGCAGGUUAAUACCCCGCUGUUCUGACGGUACCCAAAGAAUAAGCACCGGCUAACUUCGUG